GACGAACGCUGGCGGCGUGCCUAACACAUGCAAGUCGAACGGAGAUACGAUUUCGGUUGUAUCUUAGUGGCGAACGGGGUGAGUAACGCGUGAGCAACCUGACCUUUAGAGGGGGGAUAACACUUGGAAACAGGUGCUAAUACCGCAUAAGACCACGACCUGACAUCAGGAUGAGGUCAAAGGAGAAAUCCGCUAGAGGAGGGGCUCGCGUCCCAUUAGAUAGAUGGCGGGGUAACGGCCCACCAUGUCGACGAUGGGUAGCCGAGCUGAGAGGCUGAUCGGCCACACUGGAACUGAGACACGGUCCCAGACUCCUACGGAGGCAGCAGUGGGGAAUAUUGGGCAAUGGGCGCAAGCCUGACCCAGCAACGCCGCGUGAGGGAAGAAGGCCUCGGGUUGUAAACC
rnacentral:rRNA from 1 species